rnacentral:rRNA from 1 species
AGCGAACGCUGGCGGCAGGCCUAACACAUGCAAGUCGAGCGGAUGAGUGGAGCUUGCUCCAUGAUUCAGCGGCGGACGGGUGAGUAAUGCCUAGGAAUCUGCCUGGUAGUGGGGGACAACGUUUCGAAAGGAACGCUAAUACCGCAUACGUCCCACGGGAGAAAGUGGGGGAUCUUCGGACCUCACGCUAUCAGAUGAGCCUAGGUCGGAUUAGCUAGUUGGUGAGGUAAAGGCUCACCAAGGCGUCGAUCCGUAACUGGUCUGAGAGGAUGAUCAGUCACACUGGAACUGAAACACGGUCCAGACUCCUACGGGAGGCAGCAGUGGGGAAUAUUGGACAAUGGGCGAAAGCCUGAUCCAGCCAUGCCGCGUGUGUGAAGAAGGUCUUCGGAUUGUAAAGCACUUUAAGUUGGGAGGAAGGGCAGUAAGUUAAUACCUUGCUGUUUUGACGUUACCAACAGAAUAAGCACCGGCUAACUUCGUGCCAGCCGCCGCCGUAACAC